rnacentral:rRNA from 1 species
AUGGAGAAGCUGGUCUCCUCAGCCCCGUCCCACGAGCUGCUUGUCCCGCCGCCGGCCGUCUCUCUUCCCAUCAUCGACCUCUCCCUCGGCCGCGACGAGGUCCGCCGUGCCGUCCUUGACGCUGGCAAGGAGCUUGGUUUCUUCCAGGUGGUCAACCACGGCGUCCCUGAGCAUGCGAUGUGGGAUAUGGAGGCGGUGUGCGAGGAGUUCUUCCGCCUGCCGGCGCCGGAUGUGGCACCCUUCUACUCAGACGACAGAUGCAAGCCCAACCGGCUCUUCUCCGGCAGCACCUUUGAGACCGGCGGCGACAAGUACUGGACGGACUGCCUCCGCCUCACCUGCACCUUCCCCGUGGGAGACAGCAAGAAUCACUGGCCCGACAAACCCCAAGGACUCCGGGAGGUUGUCGAGAAGUUGAUCGUGCUCACAAGAGGCAUGGGAAUGGGUUGGGGCUCCGCCACAACUACUUCGAGGGGCCCCUCGGUGGUAGUGAAACCAUCAUUGGCCUUAACCACUACCCGUCAUGCUCAAACCUGGAUCCGGGACUCGGCCUUGGGCUGCCGCCACACUGUGACAGGAACCUCAUCACGCUCCUCCUACCCGGUGCUGUCCCUGGCUUGCAGGUCUCAUACAAGGGCGAUCGGAUUACCGUUGAGCCCGUGCCAAAUGCCUUUGUCGUCAACUUCGGCUUGCAACUUGAGUUAA